rnacentral:rRNA from 1 species
UACAGAGGGGGCAAGCGUUGUUCGGAAUUACUGGGCGUAAAGGGCGCGUAGGCGGCCUUCUAAGUCGAACGUGAAAUCCCUGGGCUCAACCCAGGAACUGCGUCCGAUACUGGGAGGCUUGAAUCCGGGAGAGGGAUGUGGAAUUCCAGGUGUAGCGGUGAAAUGCGUAGAUAUCGAGAGGAACACCUGCGGCGAAGGCGGGUUGCUGGGCCGACACUGACGCUGAUGCGCGAAAGCCAGGGGAGCGAACGGG